AAAAAAUAAAUCAAUACAGCCCAAUCCUAUCGAGAACCUUCUACACCCUUUUAGGGUUCAUUGCUCAAAUACUCUCUCAUUUUAGGGUUUGAAGAUGAAUCAGCGCCGCUAUUCUUCUCCCUCGUUCCUUUUCUAUCCCAAACCUUCCUCUGUCUUCUGCUACAUCUCUCGGUUUUCUUCUCCCGACCAAACCUUCCUCCUCCUUCCAAAUGCGCCGCUCACUCUCCCUUUUCCCCUCUGGUGGUUUAGGACGACGCCGAUUUUCUCCCUCUCAAUCACUCUCCCUAGUCCAAACCACCGACUCCGCUGUCACAUCUAGGCGGCGUCGCCUUCCUCCUCGGUGACGACGAAUGCGCUGCGGCCUCCCUCUGCGCAGCCCGUAUCCAGCCACCGCCGUCCGGUUUUCAAACGACGGAGUCGCCCAAGCCCUAGGCUCCAGAUAUCGUCCCCUUUCUCAUCUGUAAGUUUUAUGCUUUAUCAAAAAUAGUUCUCUAUGGCAUUAUUUUUGCAGAUUUAUGAACAUCUUUAUGAAUAGAAAAAAUGAUUUCGCUGAUCUGGUUUUGGCAUCUGAUUUUGCCAUUAUUUUUUAGCAUUUGUUUUUGGCAUCUGAUUUUUGUAGAUCUAUGAACAUCUUUGUUUUUUUCGCAUGUAGAUCUAGGAAUAUACACACAAAUUCAUUAUCUUUCGACAAUGUGUAGUAUUGAUUUACAUUCUUGUUGAUUUUUACAACUUCCUUGCUGAUUUUUACAACUUCCUAACCUGCUAAACUUUCUUGGGUCAUGUUUCUGCCAAGAAAACACAACUGAUAUUUGCUUUGUUUGAUUAUCUAUAUUUUGUAGUUGCUGAUGUCGGCGCUGGAUGAACAUGGAGGAAAAGAGAUAGGUAUUAUGUGGUAUCACUCUAACGCCUCUGGGUGAAGGUAUCAUCACUACCUUCAUUUUGAAUUAAACUCCCCUGGCUGAUGUAACAUCUCCAAUGCCUAUUUUAUGCAUUUGCUAUUUAAUUAGAAAAAUGUAUUUCAUUAGCUCUGACUGAUGAUACCUAUACUAUUUUAUGUGUUUGCUCUGAGUGAAAAUCGCUUGCAAAAAAGUGAUGAUACCUUUGCUAUUUCAUUAGCAAAGGUAUUUUCGAAAAGAUGAGUAUUGAUGUGGCUCAGGUACUAAUUUCUUCUUAUGCUCAGUAGUUUUGUUUUACUUUGUCUGGAAAUUGAAAUAUAGAGAAAUUAAGAAGUGGCCAUUUUCUCUCAUGCUGGCAUUUUUUCUAAAUGUUAAGUUAAAACAAAAAGAAAAAGAGAUGUGGUAGUAAUCUCGUGUGAUAUGAAGGUGCUAUAUUGUUUUUUUGAAAAAUUAUUUUUUCCCUAAAUUGUAUGUAUGUUUAGGCUUAAUUUUCUAGGUAUGAAAUAAUGUAUGAUACUUGUGAUUGAGAUGUAUGUAUUUUAUUAAAGAUUAAAUAUUAUAUUUUGUAAGAUUUAUUAUAAAAAUAUGGAUUCUUGUUCUGUGAUAAGGGCAGGGUGCCCUUAUCUUACAAAAUAUCUUACCUAUUUUAAAACUGUCAUGAAGUUAAACCAUGGUAAUUGGAUUCUUGUUCUCAGUAGUCUCAUAUAGUGAAAUGAUGUAUGUUCUAUAGUUAUCCUCCUUGAUCUUUAGAGAAAUACCCUAUUUUUUUCUAGUUAUGUGUUUGAUCUUUCUCAAACUUUUCCUUGACUUCAAAAUUUCCUACAGGGUUGUGGCCGGAAAUUCGUCAGCGUCAUUUCCCUUGCCAAUUAUAGUGGAAUUGAAGCCAAAAAGUGGAAUCAGGUAGCUUUAGAUUCUUUGUCUAUCCCUUUCUAUCUAUACAUGCAUAUUCAAAAAUUACAAAUUUUUGUAUGUUUUUCCAUCUUAAACAACUGUUUUUGCUGCUAGGUUGUUCAUUUUGAAUGUCUUUUAAUAAGCAAAAUAAUAGAGCUGAAAACAAUAAUAUAUUUUUUAAAUCUUAUGGUGGCAAUCCGAAAAUAUUCCUUUCGACACUCUUAUCUUCCUGCUUGCAUCAAAUAUAUUCUACUUAGUAUUCAUUUGUGGCAAAAAAGUUUGAGA
rnacentral:lncRNA from 1 species